rnacentral:rRNA from 1 species
GGCUCAGGAUGAACGCUAGCGGCAGGCUUAACACAUGCAAGUCGAGGGGCAGCAUGACGAAACCUUCGGGUUUGUUGAUGGCGACCGGCGCAAGGGUGCGUAACGCGUGAGCAACUUGCCCUUAUCAGGGGGAUAACCGGUGGAAACGCCGACUAAUACCCCAUGGCAUCACAUCAAGGCAUCUUUUUGUGAUUAAAGAAAUUCGGAUAAGGAUAGGCUCGCGUGACAUUAGCUAGACGGCGGGGUAACGGCCCACCGUGGCGACGAUGUCUAGGGGUUCUGAGAGGAAGGUCCCCCACACUGGAACUGAGACACGGUCCAGACUCCUACGGGAGGCAGCAGUGAGGAAUAUUGGUCAAUGGUCGGAAGACUGAACCAGCCAAGUAGCGUGAAGGAUGACUGCCCUACGGGUUGUAAACUUCUUUUGUAAGGGAGCAAUAAGGGUCACGUGUGGUCUGAUGAGAGUACCUUACGAAUAAGCAUCGGCUAACUCCGUG